ACGACAGAGCAGAUGGAGAAGCUGGUGGCAAACCUCGACCCAGUGAGCGUGUUGCCUGA
rnacentral:tRNA from 1 species